UACAGAGGUCUCAAGCGUUGUUCGGAUCCAUUGGGCGUAAAGGGUGCGUAGGUGGCGCCGUAAGUCAGGUGUGAAAUUUCGGAGCUUAACUCCGAAACUGCAUUUGAUACUGCGGUGCUUGAGGACUGGAGAGGAGACUGGAAUUUACGGUGUAGCAGUGAAAUGCGUAGAGAUCGUAAGGAAGACCAGUGGCGAAGGCGGGUCUCUGGACAGUUCCUGACACUGAGGCACGAAGGCCAGGGGAGCAAACGGG
rnacentral:rRNA from 1 species